rnacentral:rRNA from 1 species
UACGGAGGAUGCGAGCGUUAUCCGGAUUUAUUGGGUUUAAAGGGUGCGUAGGCGGCCUGUUAAGUCAGCGGUGAAAUCUAGGAGCUUAACUCCUAAAUUGCCAUUGAUACUGGCGGGCUUGAGUGUAGAUGAGGUAGGCGGAAUGCGUGGUGUAGCGGUGGAAUGCAUAGAUAUCACGCAGAACUCCGAUUGCGAAGGCAGCUUACUAAGGUACAACUGACGCUGAAGCACGAAAGCGUGGGUAUCAAACAGGAUUAGAUACC